ensembl:lncRNA
CAGCAGAGGGUUAGGCAUGUUCCAAGAGCUUAAUAAUGUUAGUUAAAUAAAUCAAGAGUGGGAAUGUCCCUGUCCCAAAUGAUGAUACCCAGAAAAAAACAACAAAAAUGCCAGCUACAGCUAAAGCUCCGUACUUUCUCCUGCAGUCCCCAAACUACCGUACAUACAGAGAUCCACCAAACCUAGACCCAAGAAAACCACAAAGGCAGUGAUGUUUUUCAAGAUGGGGAGCAGGCAGCUGUAUAACUGGAACCUCACGUCCUCGCCCCAACCUCAUUCUUCCCACCCCUUCCUGGCAAGAAACCCCCAAGCAUUUAAGUAAGAGAAAAGCCCAAAAACAUGUUAAAAGGGUCCACUGGGGCAACAAGCUUGCAGUUUGAGGCCAAAGGACAGCAACUGGCAGCUCACCUGGGCAGCUAGGCACACACGGGGAUGGACUCCCCAACUGCUCGCCGGUUGCAGUGUUGAUGGGGGAGGGGAGAAGAGGGAAAAAAACGGUUCUUUCCGCUCAGCGUCGCACCGAGGACCCGGAUCCCAAAGCAGUAGUCCACGCAGAGGCUGUGUCACGUCGUGCGUAAAAGGCCUUAUCGGAUCGUUCCCACCAGCUUGCACAAGAUGAAUUGGUGUGAGGCCGCAGGUCUUCGCCAACCGUCGCAGCCAGCUCUCGUCCUAAUGGCGGCUGCCGCUAGCGGGCAGCAACAGGCGCCUUUAUGGGAGACCGGCGGCGGGCAGCCUGCCCAUUGGCCUGAGCGUGUCACGUGGCCAAGCCCGGAGCCGGCGGCCGCGAAGGUGCCUGAGGUCUCAGCAGGGCUACCAGGGCUUGGGCCGGGGUUGGUCUUUCACCGGAUGUUUACCACAUGUGGAGCUUAGCAUGAAGAAUCAGCAUGAGUCAAGAAUAUCCCACCCCAAUACCCUUUGAAACAUUUUUAUGUGGUUCCAUGAAAUGGUGUAUAUUUAAUAAAUGCCACGAUGGCCUUGCUGAGGUUCUUGUUUACAGACAAUC